rnacentral:tRNA from 1 species
GGCUUUAUAGUCAAUAAUGAUAUUAGACUGCAAUUCUAAAGGGAUAAAAUUUUUAUUAAAGCUU